CCUACGGGAGGCAGCAGUGAGGAAUAUUGGUCAAUGGACGCAAGUCUGAACCAGCCAUGCCGCGUGCAGGAAGACGGCUCUAUGAGUUGUAAACUGCUUUUGUACGAGGGUAAACGCUGAUACGUGUAUCUUUCUGCAAGUAUCGUACGAAUAAGGAUCGGCUAACUCCGUGCCAGCAGCCGCGGUACUACGGAGGAUUCAAGCGUUAUCCGGAUUUAUUGGGCUUAAAGGGUGCGUAGGCGGUCGGAUAAGUUAGAGGUGAAAUCCCGAGGCUCAACUUCGGAAGUGCCUCUGAUACUGUUCGGCUAGAGAGUAGUUGCGGUAGGCGGAAUGUAUGGUGUAGCGGUGAAAUGCUUAGAGAUCAUACAGAACACCGAUUGCGAAGGCAGCCUACCAGGCUACGUCUGACGUUGAGGUACGAAAGCGUGGGGAGCAAACAGGAUUAGAUACCCUAGUAGUC
rnacentral:rRNA from 1 species